UAUACACUGUCAGAAUUUAAUUUCAGCCACUGUGGAAAGCAGUUUAGAGAUUUCUCAAAUAACUUAACACAGAACUACCAUUAGACUCAGCAAUCCACUAUUGGGCAUAUACCCAAAGGAAAAACAAACCAUUCUACCAAAAAGACACAUGCAUGAGUAUGUUAAUUGUAGC